UACGAAGGGUGCGAGCGUUAUUCGGAAUGAUUGGGCGUAAAGGGUGCGCAGGCGGCAUGUUAAGUCAACUGUUAAAUAUUCUGGCCUAACUGGAAUUCAGCGGUAGAAACUGGCGUGCUUGAGGGUGGAAGAGAGAAGUGGAAUUCUCGGAGUAGCGGUAAAAUGCGUAGAUCUCGAGAGGAACACCGAUGGCGAAGGCAGCUUCUUGGUCCACAUCUGACGCUCAUGCACGAAAGCGUGGGGAGCAAACAGG
rnacentral:rRNA from 1 species